AAUUAAUUUAGUGAAGUUUCAGAAUUUACGAGUUGAUGAUUUUUCAUUAAAAAAAAAAGUAAUUUCCUGGCGUCUCACAUACUGAUUGCGUGCGCAUGCGUGGCAUAUGUCAUAAUUAUCUACUUGAGUGGCUAAUGUGGUCUACAUCACUAGCAACUCUUGAUUCUACACCUGUGCAACUUUUCGAAUGUGCAGAAAAAAAGCUCGGAGUGUGUAAUUGAGUCUUGCAGCUUAUUCACAUCUAAAAACCUAAACUCUUCUAUAGAAUGAGCAUACUUCUUCAAUCGUAUCUCACCGAUGAUUGUUUGUGGUGUAUGAUAUCUAGAAUUAUCGCAAUGUCAGAAAGUUAGAUAGCAGAAGUACAGAACUAUGAGAAUGCAGAACAUCAUUAUGAAAAAACCUCCAUCAACGAAGUUUGGUGUCUUCGAAGGGAAUACAUUCCACGAGAUCCAAUCAGCAUUUCUCACCAUUUAAAUGAUUCCAUUAUUGAUAUUGAAUUCAAUGCAUGGCAGAUUUGUUUUACUUUUGCACAAGGGCGUCCAUCAUUAAUUUGUUAUUAUAAAGACGUAAUUUCUGUAAAUCUGUCAGAUCAUUCUUAUAGUUUUCUUUGUAUCUCAUCGACAUCCGGAGAAAAAAUAAAAAUCACCUACCAUGGGUAAUGAGAUCAGAAUAAAAUUUUGAUGAGACAAAAAUAGAAGUAGGCCAACGUCAAAAAUUUUACAUAAAAAAUGCAUUCGGCCUUCUACAAAUUUUCCAUUCAGUCACUUUUAAUACAGUUUCCACUUCGUAUGCAAAUGGAAAAUCUUCGAGAAACACGGUAAAUUCAAAAAUCCUAUAUUCAGUGGUUAGUUGCUUCAUUGGUCAUUAAUUGGUAGAAUUAAUUACAAUAAAGUGCCUAAAGAUUUUGGUAAAGAAGAGUAGAGCUAAGAUGAUUAGAAAAAGAAAAAAAAACAGUCGGACAUUGAUUACAGCGCUAAUAUAUCUUUUGAUCAAUAAAGUACAGUUUCAACACUAAACGACUGAAGAUGAUGAUUUCUGUCACAUAAUAAUUAAAUUUUUAAACAUGACGUACAAAAACAAUUGGUUUUCAAAUUAUUGGUCGAUUGAGCAAAAAUAAUUAUUCUAAUACAAAAAUAUAUAACUGAUGACAGAUAAAAUAGGUUUAAACUCCCUAUUAUAUGACAUAUGCCACACACUGAGUGAAGACGAAAAUUUCUAGAAUCACAAAAAUUCUUCCCGCAAACAUGCUCUUGUUUGUUUCAAUGAAAACAUCGUAAGCAAUCCCCUGAUCAAAUCAGAUUGAAAAAUGUUUCAGACAAUUGUAAAUUUAUUGCAGAAUAACUCGGUUGAAUUUGUCACAAUCAAUUACCUUAAAUCUUUGUACAUCAUACGAAUCUUUUUUAUUCUUGCCACUAAAUUAUUCAGUUUUUACAUGAAUUACCAUUUCAUCAUCACUAAACAAAUUGAUUUUUCGGGAAAAAAACUCUUGUUGCCGUGAAGCAGAUCAGAUCUCGAAUGGAUCAUGAUAAGGUUGGUGAUCGCAAAACUUCAUCUUCAUCAGAGAAAAUUCUUCAUUUCUAGUAUCCAAUAUGUAAUUCGAAAAAUCUAAAAUUAAUGGAAGGAUAGAGAUAAAAAGAUCAGGACUAAAAUGUUAAUCAUUGGACCACUCGUGUAGUGUAGAACGGAAGAAGUAUGUGUUAACUGCAGUAACGCGUACGUUAAUAAUACAAUUUCUUAGAGAAAACAUCAAAACGUUCGGUUCACAGAGUGUGUCUCUGCUGUUGUGACUUUACGAAAUCGAUAGUAGCUAUCGAAUGUUCAUAAUAAUCACUUUAUUGUGUAGUCGAUGUUUCUUAAUGAUAAUAAAAAACUAUCAUUCCUAUUUGAA